rnacentral:rRNA from 1 species
CCCCUAGAUGUUCUGGGCCGCACGCGCGCUACACUGAACAGUUCAACAAGUCUUAACCUUGGCCGAUAGGUCUGGGUAAUCUUUGAACGCUGUUCGUGAUUGGGAUAGACCUUUGCAAUUAUGGGUCUUCAACGAGGAAUUCCUAGUAAACGCAAGUCAUCAGCUUGCAUUGAUUACGUCCCUGCCCUUUGUACACACCGCCCGUCGCUCCUACCGAUUGAACAAUCCGGUGAAUAAUUCGGACAGUCGUGCAUUAUAGUUCGCUAUUUUGCUUGUACUGGAAGUCUAGUGAACCUUAUUGUUUAGAGGAAGGAGAAGUCGUAACA